UCGAUUUAGGUUCAGCUUCUCUACCUGGUCUUACCUACUACCUGUCUAUGGUGGUUCUGGACCCUUGAUCCAAGAUAUGAAACAGAAGUAAACAAAAAAAAUCUCCAUUCUUAAUUCCAUAAUAACCAAGCAAACUGUGACUUUAAACCUGAGACAAGCACCAAAUGAGUGUGGUUCAUAAGCGGAAUGUUAGAAACGUACCAGGUAAAAGGACAUGUGGAAGACGACCAGUGAGUCCCAUGGAUGCAGUGACUGAGGACAUGAAGGAAGUUAAGGUGCAGGAGGCGGACAUGCUGUGGCAACCUGUGAACAAUUGUAUAAACAUGGCUGAUUCCCCUCCUCCUUCUCCCCUGCCCCUGUCAUCCUGUUCACCUGCUCCAGUUGUCCUUUGACUUCCGUCCAGGAUCUUUCAGUAUCAUGAGGAGUGGUGCUGACACUUACUGUAGCGAUGAGAUCACAUGCAUUUUCAGCCAUGUGAGCUUGGGAGAACAAAAACCCCGGCGCUUUGAGGACCAAGUUAAAGACGCCCGAGCUACGCCAAAGAUGACGCAAGCUGCGGAAUGCAAGGGAGGAGUUUGCUUGAUUUGAACUGUCUCAUCUUAGGCAGAAUAUAUCAGUAAACUUUAAUAAAUCCAA